rnacentral:lncRNA from 1 species
CUCGUCCAGGUCGGCGUCAGCGACGUAUUCGCCGUCCCCGGGGACUUCAACCUCACGCUGCUCGACCACCUGAUCGCCGAGCCCGGGCUCCGCCUCGUCGGCUGCUGCAACGAGCUCAACGCCGGGUACGCCGCCGACGGGUACGCCCGCGCGCGCGGCGUGGGGGCGUGCGCCGUCACCUUCACCGUCGGGGGCCUCAGCGUGCUCAACGCCAUCGCGGGCGCCUACAGCGAGAACCUCCCCGUCAUCUGCAUCGCCGGCGGGCCCAACUCCAACGACUACGGGACCAACCGCAUCCUCCACCACACCAUCGGCCUCCCCGACUUC